ensembl:sense_overlapping Gm5607 predicted gene 5607
CUGCGAGUGUGUGUGCCGAACGAGGAGCAAGGAGCUUGUGCGAGCGAGUGUGCGAGCGGGGGUGCGCGUGUGAGUGUGCGUGCGCGUGGCGCGGGCGCCGUCGCUGCUCGGAGCCUGGCCGGGCCGGGGUCCGCGGGCUUCAGCGCGUGCGCUUGGCCUGCGGGGAGCCCAGGUCCCACGCGGCCCGCAACCAGACAGGGCUGCGAAGGUGCAGGCGGGCCAAGCGCUGCGGACCCGGCAGGCUGCAGGAAGAACUAACUAUACCCCGAACAUCCGCUGUCAGCAGGCACAAGGCUGUGAUUCAAGAUGAGUGCCCGAAGCUUCCUCUGCCUGUGUGAAGAAGAUCCAGCAAGAGAAGGAAGCAGGGUUCCUGAAAGCCAGGCUGAUGAGGAAAACUCCUGUGCUGAGUUAACGUGGGCGUCUGAGUGGGCAGAGUCAGUGUAUGAACAGCACAGGUGCCCACCCCACCCCCACCCUGGCGGGAAUACUCUAUGAGGUCAAAGCUGGUCCCUGUGUCUGUCUUCAAGGACACAAGCCAAUUUAAAAAGAAAUCAUUCACUUAAAAAGAAUGUUUAGAUCAGCUCCCACUGGUGCAGACUGAUUGGUUAAUAUCAUCUCAACUUAGCGUGUUCUGAAAAUAAGGGUUACUAACCUUCACAGACAACCAGUGGUCUCAGGGAGCCACGAAGCUGUCUCGGGACUGCACACAAGACACACACAGGUGAAGCUGGAUGCAAGUCAGACCUGUGAACUAACUCCCCGCAACCGAGGGGGGAGGAAGUGACCACAUCAUCUCAUUGGCUCUGCAGAUCCAAGUCCACUCAAACGGCAAGCAUGGCCCAGAGUUGGAUGCACCCUCAGAUUCAACAGCCGACCACUGGCAUCCCUUUUUCCCCCUUCCACGGUGGUACAUGGAAUAAAAACACACCCCGGGCUUGCUGGAAUACCAAGGAAACAUUCAUGCCCAUGGAGAGAGGAGCCUUCACUAACCUUGAGUGGGAGAGAAUCAGCCAGGGCCUCUGCGGCACAUGGAAAUACUUGUCUUAAGUAGUUGGCUCUUAGAAAUCACAGCCCAGAUGCCUGAAGCAGAAGGAGAAGCACCUGUAGUGGCUGUCACCCUGCAGGCACCUCUGUUACUGGAGUCACCAAGAAACGGUAUUACGGGAGUCUUGGAAGUGAGAGUGCUCCUCUAAGGAGAGACCCAGGAACCUGUUGCUAAGGGGCCAGCAUGCAGGGUCCCUGCUGGGCCUGCAUAGAAGGAGCCCGGUGCUUAGUGGUUCCUUCCUGAAGCCUAGGCUAAGGAUUCUAUAUGGCUUCAUCCUCCGCUCUACUCAAGCAAAGACAAGCUUCAACUGCUGGGCCUAAGGCACAUGGAGCUCAACUCAACAACUGGGAAUGGAGGACCCCUCCAGAGACCCAGAAGACCCCCGCCCGGGGGGGGGUGACAUCAGUUGGGGAGCUAUUAAUAACUGCCCUCCCCUCCCUGUCAUAUUUCCUGAACUGUGUGGGGAAGGCGAUUGUGAGGCGCUCUGCUGGAAUUUGGCAGCGCGGAGGCUUGGAGAGCAGCCCCAUGCUGGCUCCUAUUCAGCCGGCCAGUUUUCCUCGAGCUUUGGAAGUUUCACUCAGCCGUGCACUCAAUGGCUUCACAAAGCUGAUUACAAGCUUCAGCGCAUUCCUGAAGGAGCCAAAAGCGACGCAGGUGCAAACGAGCCGAGGGAGCCCCUUAUCCCGGUGACAGAAUGGGACAAGCUGGGAAAGGCUUGGACCACACAAAUCCAAGGCUCACCAGGCAGCAGAGAGCCUGCCUUGGGAACCGGGGGUCAUUAUCCGCCCUAUUCAGCGGGACCGGGGACCCUGGGGCCAAGGAGGCCGGCCGGGCGCAAGCGCCACCGCCAGUACGCGCCUGCAGCAGUGGGGACCCCGCUGGGCGUUGCAACCCGUCGGGAUGUUGGGCGCUGCGUUUGUUCCCACCGACAGCGGUCAGCGAAAUCCAUCCUGCGGGUGAAAGCCGGUGUCCAGGCUAACCGGGAUACAGGAGAAGGAGGGUAGCGAAGAUGCUCAGUGCGUGGACAGUGCGUAACUUUGUCUCCAUCACAGUCACUUAUCUGGAAACCUGCGGCUGGAUUAAUCGCUAUAUUCCCAAGAUGAGCGGUGCUGCAAUCCGCAGUGAACACGGGUGGGAACACGGAAGCUUCCCCUAGGUUCUUGCGGGGGCCAGCAGCUGGCCAGCUCCCUGCAGUGGAUGCUGCACAGUAGCUAGCACCUGUUUGGGCUCGGGUUGGGGGUCUACGAGCACUUAGGCGCACAGAAGAUGUGGAAGAGAGGAAGGAAACAGGCCUGUGGGGACUCCGGCCUGAGAGAGGUUGAUUAGCUCCCAGUAAAGGCACAGAACUGCCUAUAUAAAGAGCUUUUUAACCUGAAAAUGAUGCUGCUGAGUCUUCAGACCGUGGUCUAUUCAGAUGCAGAAAAAUGUUCCCUCCCAUCUUGAUCUCCCAGCCUCACCCCUACCACACCCACAGCUACUCCUUAGGCCCCUCCCCUGGAAUUUUCUCCUUCGGGAUCCUGGUCCUACAAGGGUUAGUAAUAUUUACUUAGGAACUGUGGUCGUGGAAAUAAAUCCUAGUUGUUCAGCCCCUUGCCCUACCUGUUCCAGUUAAAGACGGUGGGUUGUACCCAGGCAGUGGUGGCGCACGCCUUUAGUCCCAGCACUUGGGAGGCAGAGGCAGGCGGAUUUCUGAGUUUGAGGCCAGCCUGGUCUACAGAGUGAGUUCCAGGACAGCCAGGGCUGUACAGAGAAACCCUGUCUCAAAAAACCUAAAAUAUAAAAUAAAAUAAAAUAAGAUGGUGGAGUGUGUGGUGCCAAAGCUCUAGGGAGAAUACUUGUCUACAAAAACUUUCUCUGCUGAGGUCAAAGCAUCAGCUUCGAGGGAACUACCACUUGGUGUGUGAGGUCUCUGCGCCUGGGCAACGGUGUCUCUGUAGGUGUGAAAGCUGGGCAUCAGCUUGUGACAGCUUUAGGCCACAGAAGCCGAAACUGUGCGCCUCCAUUUUGUCAGCAUAUUAAACAUCCAAGAGGUGCCUGGCCACCACAUAUGGCCCCUGAGCAUCCAACAUUCAGAAUGUCAUACACACUAGAUGUAGAGUUGCUGAAUGAGAAGGAGAUCAUUGAUUUCUUGAGAUGUUGGCUACAGAAAUGACAGUGCUUGGGAUGUGUUGGGUUAAAGAAAACACAUUAUUAAAGUGAGCCUGACUGCCAGCUGCUCUUGGAAGCCACUGUGGCCUUGGUAGCUCCUCUUUGCUGGCUCUGUGCCUUUCAGCGGCUGUCUGUGGUCUUUCCACGAUCCUCUAGGAAAUGGAAAGGGAAGAAACAAAUGCAGUGGAAAGGACUGAGCCUGCGAUCACUAGAGGCAGCCAGAGCCCCUCCCAGCUCCUCUCAAAGUUACCCUUGUAACAAUCAAAGCUUCCUCACUUGCAGCAGUAAAAAGAAGUAUACAUUGUAUUUAUUGCUGGAGUGGUAUUCUUUCUAGAUUAGCUUUAAUUCUGUUUAAUUACAUUGUGAUCAUUAACCGAGCUGCAACUUUUUGUUAUUAGAUAUUUUCUUUAUUUACAUUUAAAAUGUUAUCCCCCUUCCUAGUUUCCCCUACCAAAACCCCCUAUCCCAUCCCCACUCCCCCUGCUCCCCCAAUCCACCCACUCCCGCUUUCCUGUCUUGGCAUUCCCCUACACUGGGGCAUCGAGCCUUCACAGGACCAAGGGCCUCUCCUCCCAUUGAUGUCCAACAAGGCCAUUCCCUGCUACAUGUGCAUGCCCCGUGCUUUCACUGCUCUGUGAGUGGGCUGUGGGGGGAAAGGUGGUGCUGAAUUUCAUUCUGCAAAGCAAAGCAAGCAAAACAAAACAGUAUCAGAUCGUGAAUGUCACUGUGCUGAGCAUCCAGUGUGAAUGAUCAGGGCUCUACAGUCUAGAGCCCUUGUCUUGUGUGGACCACGGCAGGUGCCCACACUCUCAUCUCGAAAACAGAAAGAAGUGAAAGUAAUUUUAGAAGCAGUGUCUGAGAAUUUGAAUGUAUUUACAGACAGGAAGCCAUGGGUCCCUCCAUGUGGAGAUACAGAGACAAAGUGUGGAGCAGAGACUGAAGGAAAGGCCAUCCAGAGACUGCCCCACCUGGGGAUCCAUCCCAUAUACAGCUACCAAACUCAGAUACUAUUGUGAAUGCCAACAAGUGUGCAACUUUUGAAGAAUCUUGCUACUACUGUUGGAUGGAGGAACGUUGAUUCUAGGAGUGACUGUGCAAAUCCCAUGGCAUUACAAGGAAGCCUCUCUCUGCUAUUUUCAAACUUUUAGUCAGCACUUGACACUUUCUGGCUUUAAUUCUGCCUUACAAAUGAGUGUAACUGCCACCACUCAAACAAAACAGAAUUCUGAACAGAAAUUUGUCUUUUGUUGUCUAUACCAACCAAGAGUGAGUUCCUUCUCAAAAUUCCUUUUGGGGCUAACAUACACAUUUAGAAUGAUAUGAAAUGAGACUUAAACCAAGGAGGCCAUGAGGGAACAUGCUUAUAAAUGUCUAUUUUACAUGUAUUCAUUUACAUUUAUUCAUGCACUGGCAGUGUGCUUGCCAUGGUGAACAAGGAGGUUAGAAGACAGUCUUCAGGAGUCACUCCUCUCCUUCCAACUUGUGGGUCCCAGGGAUCUAACUCAGGCCACCUGGCUUGGCACCAACUGCCUUUGAGAUGUUGAACCAUCUUGCCAAUUCAAGUAAACUUGAUUAUUAAAGAUUCCAAAAUACUCUGUAUAAUAUUUUAGAUACCAGAGGUCUGAAAGUGAAAUUAUAAAAAGUAGAAAUUUUAUUUAGUCAUUUGGUGAUAAGAAAUGAAAAAAACCUGCUCCAUGCUUAUUGUCCUUAAUAUAUUCAAUUAAAGCACACCACGAAAAUUUUACAUGAAUAGGCUUGGCGUACAUACAAUAUCAUUCAAUUUAUUUACUUUAGGUAUUGUAUAACUAAUAUGAAAAAAAUGGGAAAAUGUGAAGUUAAAUCCACUACAUCAAUAAAGUGAAAGUAUCUCAGAGAUAAAUUUUGAAUAAAA